GUGAUACUCCCUCCGUUCCGAAUUACUUGUCGUAUGUAUGGAUAUAUCUAGAUGUAUUUUAGUUCUAGAUACAUCCAUUUCUGCGACGAGUAAUUUGGAACGAAGGAACUACAAU
rfam:Triticum urartu cultivar G1812 contig1021183, whole genome shotgun sequence.